rnacentral:rRNA from 1 species
GACGUAGGGCGCGAGCGUUGUCCGGAUUCAUUGGGCGUAAAGGGCGCGUAGGCGGCACGGCAAGUCAGGAGUGAAAGGCCUGGGCUCAACCGAGGAACUGCUUUUGAGACUGCCGAGCUAGAGUGCGGAAGGGGCAACCGGAAUUCCCAGUGUAGCGGUGAAAUGCGUAGAUAUUGGGAAGAACACCUGAGGCGAAGGCGGGUUGCUGGGCCGACACUGACGCUGAGGCGCGAAAGCCAGGGGAGCAAACGGG